GCACGGCCUUCUCAGUUUUAAUCUCCUGCCUCGAACAACUGCCCUCAAAGUUCGUCACUACCUGAGGAAUCUUAGGAAAGCCUGUAACCAGGUUCCAGGCCAUCAAGCUACAAAUGGUCUUACAAAUGGAACCUCAAGUGAGCUCAACUCACGGCUUCUAUCGAGGACUCCUGGAUCAACCUGCUGGUCCCUCGACUAGCCAAAAAAUUCCCCUCUGGAGGACACCACAACUGCAGGGCCCCUUCUUUGCCCCUAAUCAGCAAAAAGUAGCCAGAAUGACCGCUGCCCAGUUCCCAACAGCAGUUGGGGUGUCCUGUCUAGAGCGAGGACUGAGAGGAGGGACCAGCCGGGCUUCCUGGGUCCUGCAGGGGCUCAGAAAGUUGUGAAACUCAUUCAUUUCCUGCAUCAGGACUUCCUUCUGUCCUGGAUGAAUAAUAUUGAAAACAUAUGCUUAAAAUAUUCCUAACACCAGGAUUUGUACAUGUGUUUUCUUCCCCCAAGAAAGCUAUAAACAGUGAAAAUUUUGCUAUAAGCUUCCCUGUGUCCUCUCUCCCUGUCUCCCUUCCCUCUCCCCUGAAACUAAAAGGAAUGUUAACUGACCAUUUCUCUGUGACCAGUGGACCUCAUCUAUGCUCCCAAUUCCAAUUCCUUGUAAACAUACUUUGUAAAGUCCUGUAAAUUCCCGUCUCCUUUGUCAUGCCACUGCAAGGUCAUAAAGUAGAUAAAACCUAAGUUACAAUUCCGAUAUUCCUCAAAAUCUAAGACAUGUCACAAAAUAAUUUACUGCCUUUGUUUCUUGCUCUGGUAACAUCUUCCCUCUGCACGUAUUUCCUGCCUUAAAGAGUUUAAAAGGCAACUGCAUAAUCUAACUCUGGCUACCCGCUGGGGACCCCUUCCAUGCUGUGGAAGCUUUGUACUGUCACUCUGCUCAAUAAAGCCUGCAG
rnacentral:lncRNA from 1 species